GACGAACGCUGGCGGCGUGCUUAACACAUGCAAGUCGAACGGUGAAGGGAUCAGCUUGCUGGUUCUGGAUGAGUGGCGAACGGGUGAGUAACACGUGAGUAACCUGCCCCCUUCUUCUGGAUAACCGCAUGAAAGUGUGGCUAAUACGGGAUAUUCUGCGCCUGCUGCAUGGUGGGUGUGGGAAAGAUAUUGUUUCGGUGGGGGAUGGGCUCGCGGCCUAUCAGCUUGUUGGUGGGGUGAUGGCCUACCAAGGCGGUGACGGGUAGCCGGCCUGAGAGGGGGGACGGUUACACUGGGACUGAGACACGGCCCAGACUCCUACGGGAGGCAGCAGUGGGGAAUAUUGCACAAGGGGCGCAAGCCUGAUGCAGCGACGCCGCGUGAGGGAUGGAGGCCUUCGGGUUGUGAACCUCUUUCGCCAGUGAAGCAGGCCUGUCCCUUGUGGGUGGGUUGACGGUAGCUGGAUAAGAAGCGCCGGCUAACUACGUG
rnacentral:rRNA from 1 species